rnacentral:rRNA from 1 species
AGGACGAACGCUGGCGGCGUGCUUAACACAUGCAAGUCGAGCGGAAAGGCCCUUCGGGGUACUCGAGCGGCGAACGGGUGAGUAACACGUGAGCAACCUGCCCUUAGCUCUGGGAUAGCUCCGGGAAACCGGAAUUAAUACCGGAUAUGACCUAGGCCGACAUCGGCCGUGGUGGAAAGUUUUUCGGCUAGGGAUGGACUCGCGGCCUAUCAGCUAGUUGGUGGGGUAAUGGCCUACCAAGGCGACGACGGGUAGCCGGCCUGAGAGGGCGACCGGCCACACUGGGACUGAGACACGGCCCAGACUCCUACGGGAGGCAGCAGUGGGGAAUCUUGCGCAAUGGGCGAAAGCCUGACGCAGCGACGCCGCGUGGGGGAUGAAGGCCUUCGGGUUGUAACCCCUUUCAGCAGGGACGAAGCGAAGUGACGGUACCUGCAGAAGAAGCGCCGGCUAACUACGUCGCCAGCAGCCGC